GUUUCCUGGUUCGCACCUGUACAGCGCUUUCCACCUGCAAAUUCCAAGUGUCACCUCUCCCUCCCGAGCGGUUCGCACUCCCUUGGUCUUUCCGCCCUGUCCAAACUCCACUUCUACCGCAACAAUGGUGACCUCGAAGACAGACCCUCCGCUCCAAUCUCCCCUCAAGAUGGACUCCCUCACUCACAUCGACCUUAGCACCAUGUCCCAGUCCGAGCUUCACUCCCUCUCUCUCACCUCCUCCGCCGCCUUUGAUCUCAAGAACACCGACGACGUCGUCGUUCCCAAAAUUGACCGUUCCAUCUUCAACGAAAGCGCCGGCAGCCGCCGCCAGACAUACUCCCGUCCUCGCCCAGCCCCCCGCAACUCCAACUCCGCCACCACUGUCCCCGGCCACCGCCGUCGAUUCGCUGGCCUUCUACCGGCCCAUAAAGCUCCUCCAGUCGCCGCCGACGACCUCGAGCGCUCCGAAAACAAAUGGAUCGUCAACUGCCUCAAACAUCUCAUUAGCGACGCCGAUAACUCGAAUUCGAAUGCGAAUGUGGUGGAUUCUACUUCUGCACCGCUAGUUGUUGCUGGAAAUGCGAACGCAGGGGGAGAACCGGCGGAGGUGGAGAGGCGUGCGGCGGUUGAUGCUGGGGAAAUGCAAAUUGUUGUGAGCACUGGCGAGAGGAAGAGAAAGAGAGGUACAAAAGCUGGGCUGGGAGUGCAUGGUGUCGUUGAGGUGGGGAUGUCUAUGGAGGUUGUGAAUAAAAAUGGGGCUGCUGUUGAUCUUGAUGCGCUCGCCGAUGCAGAAGAUCCAUACGGUGAGGAAUUGCGGAGGAGGACGGUGGGUAUGGAAAGUGAAGCAGAGUUGCUAGGGUUCUUGAAUGGUUUGGGCGGGCAGUGGGGAAGUAGGAGGAAGAAGAGGAAAAUUGUGGAUGCUUGUGAGUUUGGAGAUGCAUUGCCGAUCGGGUGGAAGCUUUUGAUCGGCCUCAAGAGGAAAGUGGGCAGAGUGUCCCUGUAUUGCCGCAGAUACAUAAGCCCUUGUGGACAACAAUAUGUAUCCUGCAAGGACGUCUCUUUAUAUUUGCAGUCUUAUUUUGGGCUUAAUGAAGCAAAUCAGUCAAUGAAUUCUCACGGUGACAAUGUUCUACAGGAUAAAUUACCCUCUGGAAAUAAUGUAGGACCUACCCACAAGGAUGACACAAGGAAAGGCAGCACUUCUUAUUCGACCUUGCCUGGUGCACUUACAUCGAAUCAAUACGAGAAGGAAAUCACCUUAUUGGGGAUUGAAAAUCUGGCAGAGGUUGAAGUACAUGACAUUUUUGAAUGUCAUAAAUGUAACAUGAUCUUUGAUGAAAAAGAUGCAUAUUUGCAGCACUUAUUGUCAUCACACCAGAAGACUACCAGGAGGUAUAGACUUGGUACUUCUGUUGGACAUGGUGUAAUAGUUAAAGAUGGAAGGUAUGAAUGCCAAUUUUGCCAUAAGGUAUUUAAUGAAAGGCGGCGCUAUAAUGGUCAUGUGGGAAUCCAUGUAAGGAACUAUGUCAGGAGCUCUGAAGAAUUGCCUGGUCAGGUAGGUGCCCAAAAGAGUGUCAGCUCUCCAUCCAGAGAUAAAUUGCCUUCGAGGAUCUCUAAAAUGGACGCUUUGAUUGAAAUUGCCCAGAGUUCUAUUCGAGAAGCCUCUACCGCUGAACUUACUCAUGAAAAGAAUAAAGUGAAUGUGGUUCCUACUCCAGACCUUCCUGCUGCGCCUUCUGAUGAUGCAAGGAACCUGGGCUCUCGUACCAAUGAACUGGAAGUGGAUGAGUGCAUGAGUGAUAGAACAUUGUCUGAUCCUGAGCUGAAUGAGCACGAUAGCGAGCAUGGAAUGACUGAUGAAGAAAUGGAGAAGAUUGGUGACACUGGCAAUGUUGUGGGCAAUUUUUCAGAUGCUGCUACUGUCUUAUCAGCAAGUGAGAAGAUUAGUAAUCUCUGUGAAAUGGUUGAUGGAGAUGAUGGUUCUGCAGUAAAUGCUGAAGGAAGUGAUCAGUUAGGCAUUGCAGAGUUAAGAGUUUCUGGAACCUAUCUACUUGCUCCAACUGGAGAUCAGAAGAAUUGUGUUGAUGAAAGUAAUACGAAUGUGAUCUCUGCUGAAACUCCAGUGGUAAAUGAGCUAGAGAAAUAUAGGAACAGUGAACUGAACAUUGGUUUUGGAGGCAGUGACCCUGAGGUAAAUAAUGAAAUUGUAAUUCAGACCUCUCAGAAAGAAUCAGAAGUAAAUAAGCUCGAGUGUGGAGCUACUGAUCCUUCAUCAUUGCCAUCACAUUGUUUUCCCAUGAUGAACUCUACCCCAGAUAAGGGAGGAGAGUUUUGUGGGGUUGACCAGAAGCUUGACAAUGAAAUGGAGUUUGAAGAACUGAGGUUGGAUGAAAUCGAAUCUUUCAGUUUUUUAAAUGAUGCUGUUGUGGAAGAGGGUUUUGGUGCCUCACUUCAGUUUGAAUCAGGUGAAGUUAUGGUAAACAUGGGUGGCAGACGUCAGCUUACUACUGUCUGUGUAUGGUGUAGGUUAGAGUUUAACCAUGAGGCUGUUGACUGUGAAACACAAUCAGAUUCUGUUGGCUAUAUGUGUCCAACCUGCAAGGCUAAGAUAUCUGGUCAACUCAAUGUGUUGGACAGCAUGAAUUCUGACCAUUUCUGAUGGAUUUUCCAAUUUGCGUUUGACAGUGAUAUUAUAUGCUAAAAAGAAUUUAUAGCAUGACAGAGGAUCAUUCUAGAAAGCAACGGAAGUGUUAUUCUUUUCAUUAUGAAAUUGAAAAAAAGAAGACCUAUCAUUGGGGAAGACGAUUGACACUACUAAGGCGUAUGAAGGACUCUACUACUUUGAGGAGUGGAUUGCUGGCUGGAGGGUCCUGCAACGUCAAGUAGAAUGCGGAUAAAUCUUUCAGCAGAAGAAGUUUAGCUUUUUUUUUUUUUUUGAUUAUCGUGGGAACUCCGGCCAUAGACGAGCCCCAAUCGGACCCCCCGAUGUGGCACCAAACCCACGGGACGGAAAACUUCCCCCCUGGUUCGCAGAAGUUUAGCUAUUUUGUUAUGUAUUUUGGUGUGUUAUGUACUUGAUGUGCUCCUCUAGAUCACAGGGGCGAGACAUAUGUAUGUUUUUCUUUGUUGCUACAUUCUCUUGUCAGGGCCCCUAUACCUUUUCAUCUUGUUACCUCUUGAAUGUUGCCUUGUUUGGCAUCUGCACAUUUUACAUUAAAAAAAAAAAAACCUCACCUUAUGUUGAAA